rnacentral:rRNA from 1 species
CCAGCUCCAAUAGCGUAUAUUAAAGUUGUUGCAGUUAAAAAGCUCGUAGUUGGAUUUCUGGCAGGAGCGACCGUGCCGAACUUGAUUGUUCGUGUAUUGUGUUGUCUUCAGCCAUCCUCGUGGAGAACUUUUCUAACAUUAACUUGUUGGGAUUGGGACCCGCGUCGUUUACUGUGAAAAAAUUAGAGUGUUUAAAGCAGGCAUUAGCUUGAAUACAUUAGCAUGGAAUAAUAAGAUAGGACUUUGGUACUAUUUUGUUGGUUUGCAUACCAAAUUAAUGAUCAACAGGAACAGUUUGAGGAUAUUCGUAUGGACAUGUCAGAGGUGAAAUUCUUGGAUUUUGAUCAGACGAACUACUGCGAAAGCAUUUAUCAAGGAUGUUUUCAUCG